rnacentral:misc_RNA from 1 species
GGGUCUUAAUAGUGGCGUCUUUGUCAUUGACUACUAAGGCUUCAAGAAGUUCCACUUUUUCCUUUCUGUUGCUAAACAUUGCCUCGUGAAAAUCGUUGUAGAAAAAUUGAGGCAGCCAUGGCAAUUUGUGAGAACCAAUAGAUAGAAGCACUUUGACUCCAGAGACAGUUUUAGGCAAAAGAAAAUCAGGCCAAUUAGUGAACCCAAUAUUUUUCAAAGAUGCAUUGCUAAUUGAUUCCGUCAUUUCUAUAAUUGUGCUUGACAUAACCAUAGAUUCAACCAUGUGAGGAUACAUUUGAGCCAACUUGAACCCAACCAUUCCUCCAUA